UCCAUUCAAUCGCCAAAUCUGUAAAGAGCGGGGGACCCGAUAAAUAGGGGUGAAUUCUGCAGGAUGAUGCAGAUAGGGAAGAACUCUUCCAAACCCGAACCCGUCAGCUAACCCCGUAGGCGUUGAUAGAGGAGUG
rnacentral:sRNA from 1 species